rnacentral:rRNA from 1 species
UACGUAGGGGGCUAGCGUUGUCCGGAAUCAUUGGGCGUAAAGAGCGUGUAGGCGGCCAACUAAGUCCUGCGUGAAAUCUCGGGGCUCAACCCCGAGCGGUCGUGGGAAACUGGUUGGCUAGAGUGCGGGAGAGGAGAGUGGAAUUCCUGGUGUAGCGGUGAAAUGCGCAGAUAUCAGGAAGAACACCCGUGGCGAAGGCGGCUCUCUGGAACGCAACUGACACUGAGACGCGAAAGCGUGGGGAGCAAACAGG